rnacentral:rRNA from 1 species
GACGAACGCUGGCGGCGUGCUUAACACAUGCAAGUCGAACGAAGUGGCGAACGGGUAUAUAAUACGAGGGUAACCUUCCCUCCUUUUUGGGAUAAGCCUUGGAAACGUGAUCUAAUACCGACUAAGGGGGUAUGGGCUCGCAGCCUAUCGGCUUGUUGGUGGGGUGCUGGCCUACCAAGGCGGUGACGGUGUGCCGGCCUGAGAGGGGGACCGGCGACGUGGGGACUGAGAUACGGGCGAGACUACUACGGGACGCAGCAGUGGCGGAUAUUGCACAAUGGGCGAAAGGCUGAUGCGGGGACGCCGUGUGGUGGAUGAAGGCUUUGGGGUUGGAAACCUCUUUCGCCAUCGAAUGGGUAGGUGGAGAAGAAGCGCCGGCUAACUCCGUGCCAGCAGCCGCGGUAAUUC